UUGCACGCUGGCGGCAGGCCUAACCCAUGCCAGUCGAGCGGAUGAAGGGAGCUUGCUCCUGGAUUCAGCGGCGGACGGGUGAGUAAUGCCUAGGAAUCUGCCUGGUAGUGGGGGAUAACGUCCGGAAACGGGCGCUAAUACCGCAUACGUCCUGAGGGAGAAAGUGGGGGAUCUUCGGACCUCACGCUAUCAGAUGAGCCUAGGUCGGAUUAGCUAGUUGGUGGGGUAAAGGCCUACCAAGGCGACGAUCCGUAACUGGUCUGAGAGGAUGAUCAGUCACACUGGAACUGAGACACGGUCCAGACUCCUACGGGAGGCAGCAGUGGGGAAUAUUGGACAAUGGGCGAAAGCCUGAUCCAGCCAUGCCGCGUGUGUGAAGAAGGUCUUCGGAUUGUAAAGCACUUUAAGUUGGGAGGAAGGGCAGUAAGUUAAUACCUUGCUGUUUUGACGUUACCAACAGAAUAAGCACCGGCUAACUUCGUG
rnacentral:rRNA from 1 species